rnacentral:misc_RNA from 1 species
CCCCCGUGACAGUUGGUAUCAGAGCACCGAUUUGAGGAGUGUCGGCAAAAUUAUGGCUGAAGCAAGCAACAAAAUGCAAGAAACAAGUAGCAAGGCGCAAGUUGGGCAAGAAAAAUCUUCAUUGGUGGGACAGUCGGUUGGUGCAAAGAGCAAAGUGCUGCCCAUGUUUGUGAGCUCUUCUAAGUUGAGAGAGGAGUUAGGGAGCAUUGAAACAAGGCUGGACAGGAUGAAGAACCACUUGAUCAAUGAGGAGACGAGAGUCGACAAAAUAGAAGACCACUUGAUAAUCGGGGAUGACAGAUUUGAGGAGCUGGAGAGCCGAGUAAGUGGACUUGGUGAAGGGUUAGAGGAGACCCGAGGUGAAUUCCAAGCUGCACUCAAGGAAACCCGAGACAAGUUGGUGCCUGAAAUUGAAGCCUUGAAAAUUGCUCAUGCCGAAGAGAUGUCCGCAGUGAAGGAAGACAACCGUGUUUUGAGAGAAAUGGUAGAGAAAUUGCAAGAGGAAAUGGUGUUGCUCAAGAGAUUGGUGACCCGAGAGAAUGGGACCAGUCCUCACUCUACACUCUCAGUCCCUAUGGCAAGGGUGGAGAAACCCGAGCCGGGCGCAUCCAAGGAAGAAGGAAGCGCGGGGAAGAAGACAUUCCACAGCCGGGGUGAAGACCGAAGAGGUUCAAGGGCAGUGUUGAAGUGCUUUCGGUGCAGGGGACCGCACAAGAAGAAAGAUUGUCCGAAGAGGGCAGUUGUUUUGGCUAAGGGAAAAGAGCCGGAACUACCUACUCCACCAUCGGAGCCAGCAAGUGUGGAGAGCUUGCCGUGUGGGUCACUUGGUGCCAUGGGUUUGGUCAGACCGAGUGAGGUUCCUAGCAGUGAUGGGGAGCGGGACAGUGGCAUGGUGGAUGCCAAGAUUGUGUCUGUGUUGCCGAGGGAGCUACCAUCUGAGGAAGAGGUGGACUGUGUGAGUGAGCCAGUAGCCGGAAGUCCGAGAGAUGUGGUAUUGCCAAAGCAAGAGAGGCCGAGGCAACGACGCUCAAGGAGGAGCAGGAAUAGGGGCAAAGCCGAGAGGAAGGCGAAGUCACCUAGCCACAAGGACAGAGAAGGUACUGAAGCACAGAAAAAGGCAGAAGGCAACGGGUCGCAUGGACAUGAGAGAGGUCCUAGGCGACAGAGGCAGUUCCGAGGCAGAUUCGACCGGGGAGGUCAUUCAUGGCAGUUGACUGAUUGGGUGUGUCAGUUGGCCAGUUUAGUGGCAAAUGGACUGAAAUUGCUGGAUGAAAAGCAAGCCGAUCGACAGAGAAAGAUUGGUCAGCCGGGAAUUGCCACGGGCUCAUGGGGCAAGAGGCGAGGUUCACUGCCCAGGUGGAGGCAGCGUGAUGAGCCAGUGAAGAGCCGUCAACUUGAGGCAACGGGGGCGUUGCCGAGUUGAGUGGGGGAGAGUGUCACCCCAUUUUGUUUUGCCCCGAGGAGUCCAAAUUAUUUUGUGUGUUGGCUGCCCAAUUUGAGGUCCAAUGGUGCGCAUGAAAAUUGCUAAGGGAGAAUGGGACGUGAAGAAUUGCCAUGCAUGGGUUCCUUGAAGUGGGACGUGAGAAUUGUCACUUGGCAUGGGCAAUUGGAGAGAGUUCACGUGGGAUUUGCAUGGCAUGGAAAAUGAGUGGAGCACUUGUGGAAUAAUUAGUGGAGUUCCACGUGAGAUUUGCCAUUUGCAUGGGAAGUGAGUGGGGGCGCACUAUGGAUUGAAAUGGGGAGCACAUGGUGCGGCAAAGUGGAGUUGGCCACUUACAUGCAUGAAUGUCCAUUUACAUGCAUGAGUUAUGCAUGGGACGUGAGACAAAGUGCUAGAAAUGGUGGCCAUGUGAUACGCCAAUGUGGAAGCAACAUUUGGACGUGAAGAUUUGGCAUGGCAUGGAAAGAGUGGACAUGUGCCGUGAUGGUGGCCAUCACAUGCAGCGCAUAAGUGGGACGUCCACUUCCAUUGUAUUUGGGACAUGCAAGCCAACGUGAAAUGGAGAGUGAAAUGUGGCGCACUAAAAUGGCCUAAAUGGGGAAUUGCAUGUGAUGAGCACUUAGUGGGACAUGUGGCGCGCCCAAGUGAAGAUGCCAUGUCCAAGUGCGGCACACCAAUUGAAGACAACAUGCAUGAACAUACAUGCACAUGGGACAUGUGAGAAUUGAGUGGGCGCAUCAUGAAGCCAAUAUGGCCCGCACAUGCUCGGUGGAGUGGGACGCCACUUCUUUGGUGUGUUGGACGUGUAUUGAAAUUGUCAUGGUGCAGCCCACAUGGCCUUGACAAGUGGUAGUUGGCAUGGAAAUUGCUAGGUGGCUUUGGGAGAGCACGGCAAUUGGAGCAUGGAACCAAUUUGCAUGGCCAGCCCAAAUUCAUGCAACGUGAAUUUUAAAUGGCCAAGGAACAUGCAGCGUGAAGUGUGGUGACCAGCCCAUGUGGGCGCACACAUAGCCAACAGCCCAUGUGGGGCGCACUAAAGUGGACAGCCCAUUUAGUGACCAAUGAAGAGGCGGCAAUUUUCCCUCCAUGCCCAUUUGAAAUGCUCCAAGUGGAGCUAGGUGUCAAUGCAGCCGGUCAUCAAUUGUCCUUCCCAUAAUAUUUUAAUUGUGCAAAUUAAAAUGGUGUAAUAUUGGCCACACAAUGGCUCUUGUGAGAGGCAGCCGGCAAAGCAUGUAAUAUAUAAGGGUUUGUUCCCUUAUUUGUGUAGAGAGACGUAGACUU